AUGCAGGCAAAUAUAUCUAUUACCUUUUAAUGGUUAGGGACUUGGAAACCCUUUUUGCUGUAAUAUUAAAUGUACAUUUUCACAGCUAUUGGUCUAUUUCCUUUUGUAGUUGAUCUCUGAAUUUAAAAUUUUAGUUAAAAAUAUGAGAA